UGUUCAUGCAUUAGAAUCCUCUAUAUCCAUUUUUCAGCUCACCAUGGGCUCUGGCAAAGAUGCAGUUUUAGUUGAAGUAGUUGUUGUUGUUAUAUUUCAGGGAUCGCAGAGUUAAUACUAUAAAUCAGUUAGUUAUCAAUACAUGCUUAUUAUUUAUCCUGAAUGUUUGUCUACCAGAUAUGGAUUCUUAUACUUAGCGGUCCAACUUAUGCGACAAACUAAUAUGUGCUGGACUCCUGUUAACAGAUUAUGUCUAUUGUAAAUGGAUUUGAUAUCCAACAGCGGUUAUACCUCUGAAACAUUAUAUUUAACAAUGCCUUAUACUAUACCUGUAAGGUUUCCUGAUAGAAUUACUACUUCUGGUAUCAUGUAUAUACAUUUUUGAUGUUGUCAAUUAUACUUAUGGAUUAUCUUUGUUCUAUUGUCACACAGUGUUUGAUAAAGGUCUUACGACCGAAACGUCACAUUUUCUGGUGAAGUUGCCCUGCAUAAUAAAAAGUCUAAACAGAAGUUUUCAUCAGAGUGCUGUUGUUUUUCCGUUAUUAUA